GACGAACGCUGGCGGCGUGCUUAACACAUGCAAGUCGAACGGAAAGGCCCUGCUUUUGUGGGGUGCUCGAGUGGCGAACGGGUGAGUAACACGUGAGUAACCUGCCCUUGACUUUGGGAUAACUUCAGGAAACUGGGGCUAAUACCGGAUAGGAGCUCCUGCUGCAUUGUGGUGGUUGGAAAGUUUCGGCGGUUGGGGAUGGACUCGCGGCUUAUCAGCUUGUUGGUGGGGUAGUGGCUUACCAAGGCUUUGACGGGUAGCCGGCCUGAGAGGGUGACCGGCCACAUUGGGACUGAGAUACGGCCCAGACUCCUAGGGGAGGCAGCAGUGGGGAAUAUUGCACAAUGGGCGGAAGCCUGAUGCAGCAACGCCGCGUGCGGGAUGACGGCCUUCGGGUUGUAAACCGCUUUCGCCUGUGACGAAGCGUGAGUGACGGUAAUGGGUAAAGAAGCACCGGCUAACUACGUG
rnacentral:rRNA from 1 species